rnacentral:rRNA from 1 species
UACGUAGGGUGCAAGCGUUGUCCGGAAUUAUUGGGCGUAAAGAGCUCGUAGGCGGUCUGUCGCGUCGAAUGUGAAAACCCGGGGCUCAACCCCGGGCCUGCAUUCGAUACGGGCAGACUAGAGUUCGGUAGGGGAGUCUGGAAUUCCUGGUGUAGCGGUGAAAUGCGCAGAUAUCAGGAGGAACACCGGUGGCGAAGGCGGGACUCUGGGCCGAUACUGAUGCUGAGGAGCGAAAGCGUGGGGAGCGAACAGG